rnacentral:rRNA from 1 species
GACGAACGCUGGCGGCGUGCUUAACACAUGCAAGUCGAACGGAAAGGCCCUGCUUUUGUGGGGUGCUCGAGUGGCGAACGGGUGAGUAACACGUGAGUAACCUGCCCUUGACUUUGGGAUAACUUCAGGAAACUGGGGCUAAUACCGGAUAGGAGCUCCUGCUGCAUGGUGGGGGUUGGAAAGUUUCUGCGGUUGGGGCUGGACUCGCGGGUUAUCGGCUUGUUGGUGGGGUAGUAGCUUAACAAGGCUUUGCCGGGUAGGCGGCAUGAGAGGGUGAACGGCCACAUGGGGACUGAGAUACGGCCCAGACUCCUACGUUAGGCAGUAGGCGGGAAUAUUGCACAAUGGGCGGAAGCCUGAUGCAGCAACGCCGCGGUCGUGAUGACGGCCUUCGGGUUGUAAACCGCUUUCGCCUGUGACGAAGCGUGAGUGACGGUAAUGGGUAAAGAAGCACCGGCUAACUACGUG